AUACGGAGGAUGCGAGCGUUAUCCGGAUUUAUUGGGUUUAAAGGGAGCGUAGGUGGGAUAUUAAGUCAGCUGUGAAAGUUUGGGGCUCAACCUUAAAAUUGCAGUUGAUACUGGUUUCCUUGAGUACGGUACAGGUGGGCGGAAUUCGUGGGGUAGCGGUGAAAUGCUUAGAUAUCACGAAGAACUCCGAUUGCGAAGGCAGCUCACUAGACUGUUACUGACACUGAUGCUCGAAAGUGUGGGUAUCAAACAGGAUUAGAUACCCUGGUAGUCCACACAGUAAACGAUGAAUACUCGCUGUUUGCGAUAUACAGUAAGCGGCCAAGCGAAAGCAUUAAGUAUUCCACCUGGGGAGUACGCCGGCAACGGUGAAACUCAAAGGAAUUGGCGGGG
rnacentral:rRNA from 1 species